rnacentral:tRNA from 1 species
AAGAUUUUAAGUUAAUAAAAACUUUUAUCCUUCAAAGCUAAAUAUAAAGAAUUUAUCUUUAAGUCUUA